GACGAACGCUGGCGGCGUGCUUAACACAUGCAAGUCGAACGGGAUUUAGUAGACAGAAGCCUCGGCUAAAGAUUACUAAUGAGAGUGGCGAACGGGUGAGUAACGCGUGAGCAACCUGCCUAUGACAGUGGGAUAGCCUCGGGAAACCGGGAUUAAUACCGCAUAAAAUCGUAGAAACACAUGUUUCACCGGUCAAAGAUUUAUCGGUCAUAGAUGGGCUCGCGUCUGAUUAGCUAGUUGGUGAGAUAACAGCCCACCAAGGCGACGAUCAGUAGCCGGUCUGAGAGGAUGAACGGCCACAUUGGAACUGAGACACGGUCCAAACUCCUACGGGAGGCAGCAGUGGGGAAUAUUGCACAAUGGGGGAAACCCUGAUGCAGCGACGCCGCGUGAACGAAGAAGGUAUUCGUAUCGUAAAGUUCUGUCCUAUGGGAAGAUAAUGACAGUACCAUAGAAGAAAGCUCCGGCUAAAUACGUG
rnacentral:rRNA from 1 species